rnacentral:misc_RNA from 1 species
AACGCAUAUUGCGCCCUUUGGCAUUCCGAAGGGCAUACCUGUUCGAGCGUCAUUACACCUCUCAAAGAUAACUCUUUGGCGUUGGGCAAUGCCUAAAGGCAUGCCUCAAAAUCAGCGAUGGUGAUAUUCAACCACAGGCGCACAAACGUCGUCUAGCUGGCGGGAUGUUGUCAGUCAAUUGAUGAAUUUCUAAUUGUUGACCUCGGAUCAGGUAGGAAUACCCGCUGAACUUAA